GGAGAGUUCGCAUAAUGGUAUUGCAGCGGAUUGCUAAUCCGCCGGGCAAAUUUUCGCCUGUGAGGGUUCGAAUCCCUUGCUCUCCG
rnacentral:tRNA from 1 species